UACAGAGGGGGCAAGCGUUAUUCGGAAUUAUUGGGCGUAAAGGGCGCGUAGGCUGUUUCACAAGUUGGAAGUGAAAGCCCAGGGCUCAACCCUGGAAUUGCUUUCAAAACUGUGAGACUAGAAUCCGGGAGAGGAUAGCGGAAUUUCCAGUGUAGUAGUGAAAUACGUAGAUAUUGGAAGGAACACCAGUGGCGUAAGCGGCUAUCUGGACCGGCAUUGACGCUGAGGCACGAAAGCGUGGGGAUCAAACAGG
rnacentral:rRNA from 1 species